ACGGCUCAGUAACACGUGGACAACCUACCCUCAGCACGGGGAUAAACCCGGGAAACUGGGUAUAAUACCCGAUAGUUCUGGGAUGCUGGAAUGCUCCCAGGACGAAAGCUCCGGCGACUGAGGAUGGGUCUGCGGCCUAUCAGGUAGUAGUGGGUGUAACGUACCUACUAGCCUACGACGGGUACGGGUUGUGAGAGCAAGAGCCCGGAGAUGGAUUCUGAGACACGAAUCCAGGCCCUACGGGGUGCAGCAGGCGCGAAAACUUUACAAUGCUGGCAACAGCGAUAAGGGGACCUCGAGUGCCAGGAUACAAUCUUGGCUGUCGUGAUGCCUAAAAGCAUUGCAUAGCAAGGGCCGGGCAAGACCGGUGCCAGCCGCCGCGGUAACACCGGCGGCUCGAGUGGUAACCGCUAUUAUUGGGUCUAAAGGGUCUGUAGCCGGCCGGAUAAGUCUUUUGGGAAAUCCAGCUGCUCAACAGUUGGGCUUUCAGAAGAUACUGUUCGGCUCGAGGCCUGGAGAGGUGAGAGGUACUUCAGGGGUAGGGGUGAAAUCUUGUAAUCCUUGAAGGACCACCAGUGGCGAAGGCGUCUCACCAGAACGGACCUGACGGCAAGGGACGAAAGCUAGGGGCACGAACCGGAUUAGAUACCCGGGUAGUCCUAGCCGUAAACGAUACUCGCUAGGUGUCAGCCACGGUGCGACCGUGGUUGGUGCCGUAGGGAAGCCGUGAAGCGAGCCACCUGGGAAGUACGGCCGCAAGCUGAAACUAAAGGAAUUUGGCGGGGGGAGCAC
rnacentral:rRNA from 1 species